rnacentral:rRNA from 1 species
ACUCCUGCGGGAGGCAGCAGUGGGGAAUAUUGGACAAUGGGCGCAAGCCUGAUCCAGCCAUGCCGCGUGAGUGAUGAAGGCCCUAGGGUUGUAAAGCUCUUUCACCGGUGAAGAUAAUGACGGUAACCGGAGAAGAAGCCCCGGCUAACUUCGUGCCAGCAGCCGCGGUAAUACGAAGGGGGCUAGCGUUGUUCGGAUUUACUGGGCGUAAAGCGCACGUAGGCGGACUAUUAAGUCAGGGGUGAAAUCCCGGGGCUCAACCCCGGAACUGCCUUUGAUACUGGUAGUCUUGAGUUCGAGAGAGGUGAGUGGAAUUCCGGGUGUAGAGGUGAAAUUCGUAGAUAUUCGGAGGAACACCAGUGGCGAAGGCGGCUCACUGGCUCGAUACUGACGCUGAGGUGCGAAAGCGUGGGGAGCAAACAGGAUUAGAAACCCCAGUAGUCCCAUG